rnacentral:rRNA from 1 species
UACGGGGGGGGGCAAGCGUUGUUCGGAAUUACUGGGCGUAAAGGGCUCGUAGGCGCCAACUAAGUCAGACGUGAAAUCCCUCGGCUUAACCGGGGAACUGCGUCUGAUACUGGAUGGCUAGAGUGUGGGAGAGGGAUGCGGAAUUCCAGGUGUAGCGGUGAAAUGCGCAGAUAUCAGGAGGAACACCAAUGGCGAAGGCAGCUCGCUGGGACGGUACUGACGCUGGAGGCGCGAAAGCGUGGGGAGCAAACAGG